GCGGGAGGACGCGCGCGCAGCCUGCAGGCCGAGGCGCCGGGCCGUGUGGCCUCCGGGUCACCGCGCGGAGAGGGGAGCCAGGGAGACCCGAGGUGACCUCCGGUGUGCCGCACGCAGGCGGCGGGAGGUCGGGGCGUGGAAGGGCGGAGAGCAGGCCCUGGUGACCACGGGGAAGCCGCGCGGAGGCCCCAGGACAGCGGUGACACCGCAGGCCCCGGGUUGGCUCAGCCUGGUUUGA
rnacentral:lncRNA from 1 species